rnacentral:lncRNA from 1 species
GUUCAAAAAAAUUUUUUGUUGUGUGCAUGUGAAUGUGCCUUGGGAGGGCUGGGCAUGUAUUCCAGAGUGGUCAGUGAGGCAGAAGCAGAGGGAGAUGCCGGAUCUCAUUUGGGGCAUACUUAUCCCAGGCUGAAGAACCGGUAAAGCACUGGUGUGUUUGAACACUGAUGAUAACGCCCUGCAGGUAGAGCCUAGCCAGAUUGACAAACUCAAUUACUGUCACACCAUUGCUCAUUAAUCCUUAGAGUUUUUAUCUCUAUCUCAAAGAACAACUCCGGCAAUCCAUGUGGUUUAGUUUAGAAGACUAUUAAUAACAUUCCUGGUGCGUGAACAGGACAUCAAUAUGAUCACAUUCGUAUAGCUCAGGGAGAGAAAGCGGAGUCAAUGCCUGAGUAUCCGUGAAUAAUGUGUUUGUCUCCAGCUCUCCAGGCUUCUACAAAGCCCAUUUUUCUGCAAGCACUUACAUAUCUGCUAUAAUUACAUUUUUGGUUCCACUAUCCUAUUAGCCUUGGAUCUCACUGACAACAAACCGAAAAAUAUUAAAAAAUGACUCAUGUAAGCUGUGAACUACUAAAGAGUCACACAUUUAAAUUUAAGUUGAACUUAACAUUGGGAGAUUGCCUCUUAAAUGACAAAACAAAUAUGUUUUAAGACUUUCUGACAUAUAUUCUGGGGAGCACUCCACAUUCCUGAGGGGACCUUGGACACAUGUCAAGGAGUUAAACAGACAUCCUCUGGAGUAGCUGAAACUGAGACAGCUAGAAGUCUGCAAGAGAAAUGCAUCUGUCUAUCCUAAUUAGACAACCUGGGCAGCAAAAAUAAACACGGAUUUCUACAAAGCCCCAAAUCAAGAGUCACAAAGGCAUAAAUUACUAAUGAAGUAUCAUCUACCCCGAUCUAAACAAUAUCCAUCAUCAAGCUAUGCUGUCAAUCUGGAGGCUCCCACUCUUCAUUUCUGCUUAUCAGAUACUUUCCUCUUCUUCAAGAGCUAAAGUCCAAUCUUACCAGUUCUGAGAAGACUUUUCUCAUCAUAUCAAAGGGAAGGGUUGAUCUGUUUUUCAUUUCUUUAACAUUUACUGUCUAUAGUCUAAAUUUUUGUCUUGAAUGACUGCCUCUGACUUUUUAUGUAACUUGUCCAUCAGCUGUAUCAUAUGCCCUAGCAUGUUAUGCUACCUUAUGGCUCCCGGGGUACAUAAGAUAUAAUCAUUAUUUGUGAUAAUUGCUCAAAGUUAGUGAUUGAUACCUGUGA